UUUCAUGAAAAUGAUGAAGUUCUGCUUUGGAAGACAAUGCAUGACAACUUGCUUCCCUACCCCUUGCAAAUCUACUCCCAGUUCUCCUCUUGGCCACCAGAUCAGCAACUGGGGAAAUGAAUAAAUUUAAAAAGAAGAAAAAGAAAGAAGUAGGGUCAAGUCAUAACGAUCUGGCCAGAGAAGUGUGAUCCUACCAAUGGAGAACAGGGACUGUAGCCCAAAGGAGCUGUGGGACUCAGCCAAUACAUACAUGCCAGUGGGAUCCAGAAAGAGGGAGAGAGAAUGAUCUGACGACAGAAGAGGAAUAGCUGACAUGACCACCGAACAGUGGGAGAUGGAGUGAGAAUGGAAGAUGCAGUGCUACUAGUUUUGAAGACACAGGAAGGACCAUGUGUCAAGGAAUACAGGUGGCAGUCAGAAGCUGAAAAAGGCAAGCAACCAAUUCUCCCAUGGAUUCUCCUGAAAUAACCAAACAUUGGUGGAGUGGAAAGAGGUGUCUAGUGCUGGAGUAUGAUGGAGUCAAAAACUAGCUCAGCUUCAAAGGAAAAUCAAGAUCUUCCCAAAUAUGGAUAACUGGAGGGGCUGUCAACACGGACAUCAUUGUCUGCAUCUCUCUCUCUUCAACUUUGAGCACAAUUUCCAAAAUUCUCUUGCACAGUUGAGUGACCCAUGAUAAAUAAAGCCAGUGAAGGGGAGGACACAGACAGAACUCUCCCAGAGACCUGGGCAGGUAGGACCUGUCCCACUUAGCUGAGCAAUCCCUAUGGCAGGCCUCUUGGCACAGCAGCAGUCUUCCCCAGAAGAGUGGAAUAGUCUACCUGUCACCAUGACCGCCAGCCCAGCUGUUUGGGAACUCCAGCCUAAACACCUCCCGUCCAUCCAGCUCUCACCAUCAGCGCCCCAGCCUCUGGCUCCUUGCUCUCCUGUCUCCUCUUUUCCAUUAACUUUAACUGCACUUGGGCAGGUCUGCAGGAAUAAAUUAAGAACAGAGCAGACAAGGAUCUACAUCCAAG